GACGAACGCUGGCGGCGUGCUUAACACAUGCAAGUCGAACGGAAAGGCCUGCUUUCCCUUGUGGAUUGCGGGUACUCGAGUGGCGAACGGGUGAGUAACACGUGAGUGAUCUGCCCCCAACUUGGGUAUAAGCCUGGGAAACUGGGUCUAAUUCCCGAUAGGACUGCAGGGUGGUGCCUGUGGUGGAAAACGAUUUGCUAGUGGUUGGGGCUGAGCUCGCGGUCUAUCAGCUUGUUGGUGGGGUAAUGGCCUACCAAGGCGGCGACGGGUAGCCGGCCUGGGAGGGUGGACGGCCACAGUGGGCCUGAGAUACGGCCCAGACUCCUACGGGAGGCAGCAUUGGGGAAUAUGGCACAAGGGGCGGAAGCCUGAUGCAGCGACGCCGCGUGGGGGAUGACGGCCUUCGGGUUGUAAACUCCUUUCGACCGCGAGGAAGCCACCUGGUUGGAAGGGUGGUGACGGUAGUGGUAGAAGAAGCACCGGCUAACUACGUG
rnacentral:rRNA from 1 species